CAGGGAGACAAAAAUUGAUCGUGAUGUCUAAGUUUUAUAUUCUUAGGCCAUGAUCCUGUCACCUUAGGUCGAUCGGUACCUCAAAUUAAAAAUCUAAUAAUCAACUUGAUUUUGAUAUUUAAUUUCUGUUCCUAAACUUGUCUAGGUCACACCCAGCAAGGGUUCUCCUGGGCCAUUAGCUCAGGUGGUUAGAGCGCACCCCUGAUAAGGGUGAGGUCCCUGGUUCAAGUCCAGGAUGGCCCAUUCGGUGUUGGGGGUUUAGCUCAGUUGGUAGAGCGCCUGCUUUGCAAGCAGGAUGUCAGCGGUUCGAGUCCGCUAACCUCCACUGAUAAGCCUCCUGUGACGAAUGCACUGGAGAUUUUCUUUGAUGGCUGUGAUUUAGAAUUAGUUUUUCUGGAAGAACCUAGCUUCCUAUCAUGCCUAAAUAUCUAAAUAAAUGAGAUAAGGUUUUGAUAGGACACUGGGCUCACCGAAAUUCAAUCUCGGAAAAGUUCAGUAGAACCUUGACAACUGCAUAGAUAAGUCUGAAAUGAAUAAAGCAUCUCAUGGAUGCAUUUUCAUUUAAUAAUUACUAGUAAUUGCAUUUAGCUUUUCUAGUUAUUUUUAUUUGAUUAAUGUUUAAUUCUUGAGCAAAAUCGAAUCUUUAUAACAUAACUUCUUGAGCUCAAACUCAAGUUAUUUGUUUAAUCAAAUAAUGAUGCAUUUAUGUAUCUUGUUAUAAAGAAAAAU
rnacentral:tRNA from 1 species